rnacentral:misc_RNA from 1 species
AGAUCUUUUCUCGCGCGCUACUCCUUCCCCACCGCCUUCAACACCAACACCAAAACCAUCACUUCUCUUUCUCAGGCUUACACAGAUACCCACUCACGGUCACACGAACAACUCUCCCUUGUCGCUCGCGACACCUCCAGCCCGAACACCAACAGCGGCACCAUACGAUAUAACGCGCUCGCGGACGCAUCCUCUAGUCCCUCCCUCCCCUUCUCCUCUCCCUCCAUCGCAUCACGCCUGACGAGCAUUCUAUUGAUUUUUUUUUGCUACUUGACCGGGUGUGUGUGCGCGUGUUAUCAGAGUGUCUUUCCACGGAUACAUAAGCACACUCACUCAGACACAUAUAUUUAUUUAUAUACAAACACACGAGAAAAAUGGUGUCGGGGAACACACAUCUGACCCUUCUGCGCUGCAGUGUCGUCGUCGGCGCGGUGGCGGCGGCGCUGUGCCUUGGCGCUACGGCGAUGCUGCCCAUUUUUCGGCUGAACAUCGACGCGCUCAACUCUUCCAUCACACAGUCGUUGUGGACGACGGACAUAUACACCCCUGCCGGGGAGAAGCACAUCCCUGUGAAGAAGUUCGUGAAGGACUGCAGCGAUCUGGCGCUUGCGUUUCAGGUGGCGCAGGUGUGCACUCUUGUCGGCAUCGGCGCCCUCGCUCUGGCCUUUCUGUGCUCCGUCCUCCACAUGUCGUCGACCUUCACGCGCUCGAGCUAUCGCGUGCGCGCCGUGUGUGGGGCGCCGAUUUGCCUUUUGCUCACGGUGGCAAUCGCUGCGGCCGGCUUGAACUGCUACAUCAUGCGCGCCAUGUACGAGAACAACUGGUGUGAGAAGAAUACCACCGGGUGCAUGGAAGCUACCCAGUCGGCGAUGGGUGUUAUUGGCAGGCCGUCGAUUCUCCUCAAUCGCGGCUUGCCUCUGCGCAAGAUGUCGAAGAUCCAGCACUCCUUCUUAACCCCCGCCGUAAACAUGAAAUUUGCCGUGUCGCGGGAAGCCGACAUCUUCGCCACACCUCUGACUAAGGCUGCUGCUACUGGUUCAACUGGUGGCCUCUUCGGGGACUGCAACCCGUUCGACGGCUGCAUCAGCUCCUUCCACAAUAUGGGGUUCACGGGUGCGGAAGGGUGGCAGACGACAUGGGCGGCGCUGGCAGCGACCGUCACCGGAUUCUUCGCGGAGACGCUGGUGGUGAUCAUUGGCGGCCGUCGCUCGUCGGAGGCCGGCCUGGGCGAGUCGGCCGUCGCACUGCUUCAGGGCGAGGACGAGCGACUCCUGUGAGACUCACGGAGGCGAGACGGACAGGGAGGGAGGGGGGGGCAAGAGGAAGCGAGCACGCGGGCCCACCUAUAUACAUGGCACGCGAGCAGACACAAGACGACGAUGGAGGAGUGCCGCGAGCGCCUCACGUGCUGCGCUUCGACGUGAUAGCGAGAGCCCGCAACGCGCGGGCGCAGGCGUUAGGGCGUUGCUGGGAUUUUGCUUGCAGUUGACGUGCGGUUCUCGCCGUCCCUGCAGGCUCCACGUGGUUGCUUGUUCGUUCUUGCGGCUGCUGCUGCUACGGUGAGCUCUUCAGGGCGCAUGUCUUUUAGUGCUUCUUGCGCCUGCUGGCGCCUCCCCUUCCCGAGUCUCCUUUUCGAUUGUGCUUGCUUGCUUUUCUUCCACGCGCCGCCAUGCUCUACACCACGUCACACAUGUCAGCGAAGGCGCACACGUUCACGCAGAAAAGGCAUGCACGGGCGUACUGUGGUCAGCGUGCGAAGUCCCGAUUGCCUUCCCUUCUUCCCGUUUCCCCCGUCACCGUUUGUCGUUGUGGUUGUUGCUCUCGCUCUCGCUUCGGUGUGGAAGCUCAGCAAAGGGGUGGCUCGGCGCCGCAGAUACCUGUGUAGGUAGGCGCGCAUGUAUAUGCGUGUCUGUCUGUGUGUGUGUGUGUGUGUGUGUGACUUUGUUUGCCGAGGCCGCCACGGCCACAGCAGCAGCGCCAGCACUCGUCGUGUGUCUGUCUAUCUGUCUGUGUGUGUGUGUGUGUGGGAGAUCGAGAGAGAUGGCCUGCCCAACCACCCAUUCCCGCUCUCCUCCUCGUCCGUUUUCUUUUUAUUGUGUGUGAGGGGGAGGGGAAGGGGGUCGGGGUGUUGUGCUUGUGGCUACGUUUCCGUCUAGUUGUUUGCAUGCUAUUCACGCCGCUCUCUCGUGGCCCCCUCGGUUUGCUUUUUUUUUGCUUAUUUGGGGGGAGGGGGCAUGGAGCCCCUCCCCCUCCCCCACCACCACCACACCACACCUUUCCAUUUUUCUUUCUUUCGUCCUUCUUUUAUAUGUAUGCUGGUAGUCCACCAACGCCAACCCGUAGAGAUGGGGGAGAAAGGAGGGGUGCACGCACACACGCAUACGGGACACACAAGCACGUAGACGCGUGGGUGGAGUGCCACGGUUCACAGCCCCCUACACACGCAACUCGCCGUAUAUACGCCCCGCCCCGCCGCCUCCUCGUGUGUGUACCCCUCUCCCUCCUUUUAUUGUUAUUUGCUUCGCUGUGGCGUUGACGAUAGGUGGUACUCCGAAUGCCCACCACCAACACUGCCGUUCCUCCGAGGGUCCCGCUCCAACACCAUCAUCGCCACCCCUCCAUCAUUUCUUCGGGUGCACAUGUCUGUGCGUAAGAGAGUGGUAAAGGUGCGGCGCUUUCGGAAAUUAAUUUCUACCGAUUUCUUUUCGUGCUUCCCUCUCACUGUGUGUGUGUGUGUGUGUGUGUGUGUGUGUGUGUCAGCGUGUGGGCGCGUGGGUGCACCUCUGUGCGUGUGUGUGCGUUUGGGGGGUAGGGGGGUUCUCGUGGUUACGAAAUCCGAACACGACUAUUUAGACGUGGUGUGUGUCCUGUGCCGAUGCGCGCAGGUGCUGUUUGCCCUCGCCAUUAUCAGCACACGCACGCGCACACACGCGUACCCCGCACAGAGGUGCAUCCACACGCCUGCAAUGCACGCACAUAUAUAUAUAUAUAUAUAUUAUAUUUAUUAUUAUUAUAUAUAUAUAUAACAUAUAUUUAUGCUUCCAUCGCUAGGCUUUCGCUCUGCAUCUCUUCGUUUGGUGUUCGUUCCUUCUUUCCUUGACGUUCUUCUUAUCUUUUUGUCCGCCCGUUUCGCCCAUACAGCUCAAACAUCGUGCCCACCCACCCCUCAGUGACGUCUGACGAGACUAAAGUACCACCCGACACACACACACACACAAACAUGCAUACAUACAUAUCUGUAGUUAUUCAUAUAUAGCUAGAUACAUAUGUAUAUAUGUGUGUGUGUGUUUGCUUGUGUUUAUGUUUGUAUGUGCGCAUAACGAAGAUGGACAUCAUUAAAGCAAACAGCGGCAGCCAGAAGCACAUCGAAAGAUAAAAAAAGAGCGAAACACACAUUCACACGC